rnacentral:rRNA from 1 species
CCGUGAGGGAAAGGUGAAAAGCACCCCGACGAGGGGAGUGAAACAGUUCCUGAAACCGGAUGCCUACAAGCAGUUGGAGCCUCUUUAUGGGGUGACAGCGUACCUCUUGCAUAAUGGGUCAGCGAGUUAGUCUUACAAGCAAGCUUAAGCCGUUAGGUGUAGGCGCAGCGAAAGCGAGUCUUAAUAGGGCGAUUGAGUUUGUGGGAUUAGACCCGAAACCAGGUGAUCUAGCCAUGAGCAGGUUGAAGGUGAUGUAACAGUCACUGGAGGACCGAACCCACGUCUGUUGAAAAAGACGGGGAUGACUUGUGGUUAGGGGUGAAAGGCCAAUCAAACCGGGAGAUAGCUGGUUCUCCUCGAAAUCUAUUUAGGUAGAGCGUCAGACGAAUACCAUCGGGGGUAGAGCACUGAAUGGGCUAGGGGGCCUCACCGGCUUACCAAACCUAAUCAAACUCCGAAUACCGAUGAGUACUAUCUGGCAGACAGACUACGGGUGCUAAGGUCCGUGGUCGAGAGGGAAACAGCCCAGACCGCCAGUUAAGGUCCCAAAGUUGUGGCUAAGUGGGAAAGGAUGUAGGACGGCCAAGACAACCAGGACGUUGGCUUAGAAGCAGCCAUCGUU